rnacentral:rRNA from 1 species
CCCUUAGACGCUCUGGGCCGCACGCGCGCUACACUGGUCGAUGCAACGAGUUUCUUUCCUUGGCCGACAGGCCUGGGCAAUCUUUGAACAUCGAUCGUGAUCGGGAUAGAUUCUUGUAAUUUUUGAUCUUAAACGAGGAAUUCCUAGUAAACGCAAGUCAUCAGCUUGCAUUGAUUACGUCCCUGCCCUUUGUACACACCGCCCGUCGCACCUACCGAUUGAAUGGUCCGGUGAAAUCUCCGGACUGGCGUGAGUCGGAGCAAUCUGACAAACACCGGAAAGUUGAUUAAACCUUACCAUUUAGAGGAAGGUGAAGUCGUAACA